GAUCUUGGUCAUUUAGAGGAAGUAAAAGUGUAACUAAGGUUUGGCUGUAGUACAAGUGAUCCUGCGGAAGGAUCAUUACCGAGUGCGGGUCCCUCGUGGCCCAACCUCCCAUCCGUGUUGACCGACACCUGUUGCUUCGGCGGGCCCGCCCGGGCUCCCGCCCCGGCCGCCGGGGGGCAUCGCCCCCGGGCCCGCGCCCGCCAAAGACCCCUCGAACGCUGCCUUGAAGGUUGCCGUCUGAGUAUCAAAUCAAUCGUUAAAACUUUCAACAACGGAUCUCUUGGUUCCGGCAUCGAUGAAAAACGCACCGAAAUGCGAUAAGUAAUGUGAAUUGCAGAAUUCCGUGAAUCAUCCAAUCUUUGAACGCACAUUGCGCCCCCUGGCAUUCCGGGGGGCAUGCCUGUCCGAGCGUCAUUGCUAACCCUCCAGCCCGGCUGGUGUGUUGGGCCGUCGUCCCCUCCGGGGGACGGGCCCGAAAGGCGAGCCCCCGCGCCGCGUCCGGUCCUAGAGCGUAUGGGGCUUUGUCACGCGCUCUAGUAGGCCCGGCCGGAUUGCUGGCCAACGACCUCACGGUCACCUAACUUCUCCCUUACGUUGACCAAUUCUUGUUUUGAUCUAUUAGGUAGGGCAUACCCGCUGAACUUAAGCAUAUCAAUAAAUCCGAGGAAAGAAAA
rnacentral:rRNA from 1 species